rnacentral:lncRNA from 1 species
GGGAAGGGUAAGUGUAGCUGUAUAGAUGGAGAGGGAAGGGUAAGUGUAGCUGUAUAGAUGGGGAGGGAAGGGUAAGUGUAGCUGUAUAGAUGGAGAGGGAAGGGUAAGUGUAGCUGUAUAGAUGGAGAGGGAAGGGUAAGUGUAGCUGUAUAGAUGGAGAGGGAAGGGUAAGUGUAGCUGUAUAGAUGGGAAGGGUAAGUGUAGCUGUAUAGAUGGAGAGGGAAGGGUAAGUGUAGCUGUAUAGAUGGAGAGGGAAGGGUAAGUGUAGCUGUAUAGAUGGAGAGGGAAGGGUAAGUGUAGCUGUAUAGAUGGAGAGGGAAGGGUAAGUGUAGCUGUAUAGAUGGAGAGGGAAGGGUAAGUGUAGCUGUAUAGAUGGAGAGGGAAGGGUAAGUGUAGCUGUAUAGAUGGGGAGGGAAGGGUAAGUGUAGCUGUAUAGAUGGGGAGGGAAGGGUAAGUGUAGCUGUAUAGUUCUAAUAGAGAGGGAAGGGUAAGUGUAGCUGUAUAGAUGGUGGAGGGAAGGGUAAGUGUAGCUGUAUAGAUGGGGAGGGAAGGGUAAGUGUAGCUGUAUAGAUGGAGAGGGAAGGGUAAGUGUAGCUGUAUAGAUGGGGAGGGAAGGGUAAGUGUAGCUGUAUAGAUGGAGAGGGAAGGGUAAGUGUAGCUGUAUAGAUGGGGAGGGAAGGGUAAGUGUAGCUGUAUAGAUGGAGAGGGAAGGGUAAGUGUAGCUGUAUAGAUGGGGAGGGGAAGGGUAAGUGUAGCUGUAUAGAUGGAGAGGGAAGGGUAAGUGUAGCUGUAUAGAUGGAGAGGGAAGGGUAAGUGUAGCUGUAUAGAUAGAGAGGGAAGGGUAAGUGUAGCUGUAUAGAUGGGGAGGGAAGGGUAAGUGUAGCUGUAUAGAUGGUGGAGGGAAGGGUAAGUGUAGCUGUAUAGAUGGAGAGAGAAGGGUAAGUGUAGCUGUAUAGAUGGAGAGGGAAGGGUAAGUGUAGCUGUAUAGAUGGAGAGGGAAGGGUAAGUGUAGCUGUAUAGAUGGAGAGGGAAGGGUAAGUGUAGCUGUAUAGAUGGGAAGGGUAAGUGUAGCUGUAUAGAUGGGGAGGGAAGGGUAAGUGUAGCUGUAUAGAUGGAGAGGGAAGGGUAAGUGUAGCUGUAUAGAUGGAGAGGGAAGGGUAAGUGUAGCUGUUUAAAUGGAGAGGGAAGGGUAAGUGUAGCUGUAUAGAUGGAGAGGGAAGGGUAAGUGUAGCUGUAUAGAUGGUGGAGGGAAGGGUAAGUGUAGCUGUAUAGAUGGAGAGGGAAGGGUAAGUGUAGCUGUAUAGAUGGAGAGGGAAGGGUAAGUGUAGCUGUAUAGAUGGAGAGGGAAGGGUAAGUGUAGCUGUAUAGAUGGGGAGGGAAGGUGUAGCUGUAUAGAUGGUGGAGGGAAGGGUAAGUGUAGCUGUAUAGAUGGAGAGGGAAGGGUAAGUGUAGCUGUAUAGAUGGAGAGGGAAGGGUAAGUGUAGCUGUAUAGAUGGAGAGGGAAGGGUAAGUGUAGCUGUAUAGAUGGAGAGGGAAGGGUAAGUGUAGCUGUAUAGAUGGAGAGGGAAGGGUAAGUGUAGCUGUAUAGA